GCUUCUGUGGUGUAGUCGGUUAUCACGUCGGUCUCAUAGCAAGUUUAUGAUUAGGCUCAGUCUAAGUUAUCCGAAGGCCGCGAGUUCGAUUCUCGCCGGAAGCA
rnacentral:tRNA from 1 species